UACAGAGGGUGCAAGCGUUAAUCGGAAUUACUGGGCGUAGAGCGUGCGUAGACGGUUACAUAAGUCGGGUGUGAAAGCCCCGGGCUCAACCUGGGAAUUGCAUUCGAGACUGCGUAGCUAGGGUGCGGAAGAGGGAAGCGGAAUUUCCGGUGUAGCGGUGAAAUGCGUAGAUAUCGGAAGGAACACCAGUGGCGAAAGCGGCUUCCUGGUCCAGCACCGACGUUCAGGCACGAAAGCGUGGGGAGCAAACAGG
rnacentral:rRNA from 1 species